GAUGAACGCUGGCGGCGUGCCUAAUACAUGCAAGUCGAGCGAACGGACGAGAAGCUUGCUUCUCUGAUGUUAGCGGCGGACGGGUGAGUAACACGUGGAUAACCUACCUAUAAGACUGGGAUAACUUCGGGAAACCGGAGCUAAUACCGGAUGAUAUUUUGAACCGCAUGGUUCAAAAGUGAAAGACGGUCUUGCUGUCACUUAUAGAUGGAUCCGCGCUGCAUUAGCUAGUUGGUAAGGUAACGGCUUACCAAGGCAACGAUGCAUAGCCGACCUGAGGGGGUGAUCGGCCACACUGGAACUGAGACACGGUCCAGACUCCUACGGGAGGCAGCAGUAGGGAAUCUUCCGCAAAGGGCGAAAGCCUGACGGAGCAACGCCGCGUGAGUGAUGAAGGUCUUCGGAUCGUAAAACUCUGUUAUUAGGGAAGAACAUAUGUGUAAGUAACUGUGCACAUCUUGACGGUACCUAAUCAGAAAGCCACGGCUAACUACGUG
rnacentral:rRNA from 1 species